GCUGGGCGUGGUGGCGCACGCCUGUAGUCCCAGCUACUCGGGAGGCUGAGGUGGGAGAAUCACUUGAACCCAGGAGGUGGAGGUUGCAGUGAGCUGAGAUCGCACCACUGCCCUCCAGCCUGGGCAACAGAGCGAGACUCCAUCUUAA
rnacentral:SRP_RNA from 1 species